rnacentral:pre_miRNA from 11 species
UCCCCAAGAAUUUGGGUGGUUGCAAAUCCUGGACAAACCCCCAAAUGAAAGACCCCCAGAGUGCGGAGACUCUCACUCAAGUCUCGGGAUAAGCCGACGCCCCAAUAAUUCAAGCACAUGA